GACGAACGCUGGCGGCGUGCUUAACACAUGCAAGUCGAACGGAAAGGCCCUGCUUUUGUGGGUUGCUCGAUUGGCAAACGGGUGGGUAACACGUGAGUAACCUGCCCUGGACUUUGGGAUAACUUCAGGAAACUGGGGCUAAUACCGGAUAGAAGCUCCUGCUGCAUGGUGGGGGUUGGAAAGUUUCGGCGGUUGGGGUUGGACUCGCGGCUUAUCAGCUUGUUGGUGGGGUAGUGGCUUACCAAGGCUUUGACGGGUAGCCGGCCUGAGAGGGUGACCGGCCACAUUGGGACUGAGAUACGGCCCAGACUCCUACGGGAGGCAGCAGUGGGGAAUAUUGCACAAUGGGCGGAAGCCUGAUGCAGCAACGCCGCGUGCGGGAUGACGGCCUUCGGGUUGUAAACCGCUUUCGCCUGUGACGAAGCGUGAGUGACGGUAAUGGGUAAAGAAGCACCGGCUAACUACGUG
rnacentral:rRNA from 1 species